rnacentral:misc_RNA from 1 species
GAUGAAGAAACGUAGCGAAAUGCGAUAAGUAAUGCGAAUUGCAGAAUUUCUAGUGAGUCAUCGAAUCUUUGAACGCACAUUGCGCCCUUUGGUAUUCCGAAGGGCAUGCCUGUUCGAGCGUCAUUAUCAACCCUCAAGCCUGGCUUGUUGUUGGACCUCAGGUCGCCGCUCCGGCGGACCGGUCUCAAAGACAAUGACGGCGUCCGUGGGACCCUCGGUGCAAUGAGCUUCUUCCAAAGCACGCAUCCAGAGUGGGCUCGCGGGGGCCGUCUCCCCGUCAUAUUUUAUCAAGGUUGACCUCGGAUCAGGUAGGAAUACCCGCUGAACUUAAGCAUAUCAAUAAGCGGAGGA